GACGAACGCUGGCGGCGUGCCUAAUACAUGCAAGUAGGACGCAGUUGCGAACGGGUGAGUAACGCGUAGGUAACUGCCGAUUAGAGGGGGAUAACUAUUGGAAACGAUAGCUAAUACCGCAUACAAGUAGAUGGACCGGCGUUGUAUUAGCUAGUAGGUAGGGUAAGGGCAUACCUAGGCGACGAUACAUAGCCGACCUGGGAGGGUGAGCGGCCAAACUGGGACUGGGACACGGCCCAGACUCCCACGGGAGGCAGCAGUAGGGAAUCUUCGGCAAUGGGGGGAACCCUUACCGAGCAACGCCGCGUGAGUGAAGAAGGUUUUCGGAUCGUAAAGCUCUGUUGUUAAGGAAGCGGUACUUAACCAGAAAGGGACGGCUAACUACGUGCCAGCAGCCGCGGUAAUAC
rnacentral:rRNA from 1 species